rnacentral:misc_RNA from 1 species
UAGAGAAGGGCGGUGGUCUAAGUGGUGAGCAUGUGGCCUUGGGUUUUGAGAGUUUAAAUUUGCAUAUUUUGAGGUAUUGAGUCGGUUGGGUUGUAUAUCUUGGACUGGACUUUUGUGGUUGUUUGUAGUUAAGCUUACAGCAAGAACCAAUAAAGAAGCCAAAUCUCCUUUAAAUCUUGUCAAGUCUGGAAGUAUAGGUACUUCCAGGUCCUUUCCUUGGCAUUGUCCUCUUAAUUACUGCAAGUUUAGAUUUGGG